AUUGAACGCUGGCGGCAUGCUUUACACAUGCAAGUCGAACGGCAACAGGUUAAGCUGACGAGUGGCGAACGGGUGAGUAAUGCAUCGGAACGUGCCCGGUCGUGGGGGAUAACGCAGCGAAAGCUGCGCUAAUACCGCAUACGAUCUGAGGAUGAAAGCGGGGGACCGUAAGGCCCCGCGCGAUCGGAGCGGUCGAUGUCAGAUUAGGUAGUUGGUGGGGUAAAGGCUCACCAAGCCAACGAUCUGUAGCUGGUCUGAGAGGACGACCAGCCACACUGGGACUGAGACACGGCCCAGACUCCUACGGGAGGCAGCAGUGGGGAAUUUUGGACAGUGGGCGAAAGCCUGAUCCAGCAAUGCCGCGUGCAGGAAGAAGGCCUUCGGGUUGUAAACUGCUUUUGUACGGAGCGAAAAGGUCUCCUCUAAUACAGGGGGCUCAUGACGGUACCGUAAGAAUAAGCACCGGCUAACUACGUGCCAGCAGCCGCGGUAA
rnacentral:rRNA from 1 species